rnacentral:rRNA from 1 species
UACGAAAGGGGCGAGCGUUGUUCGGAUUUACUGGGCGUAAAGCGCACGUAGGCGGUCUUGUAAGAUGGGGGUGAAAUCCCCGGGCUCAACCCGGGAACUGCCUUCAUGACUGCAAAGCUAGAGGAUGCGAGAGGUUGGCGGAAUUCCGAGUGUAGAGGUGAAAUUCGUAGAUAUUCGGAAGAACACCAGUGGCGAAGGCGGCCACCUGGCGUAUUUCUGACGCUGCGGUGCGAAAGCGUGGGGAGCAAACAGG